CCUGACUGCUAUCGGAUUGAUACUAAGCCAUGCGAGUCAUUGUAGCAAUACAAGGCAGACGGCUCAGUAACGCGUAGUCAACCUACCCUAUGGACGGGGAUAACCUCGGGAAACUGAGAAUAAUACCCGAUAGAACAUUAUACCUGGAAUGGUUUAUGUUUCAAAUAAUUUAUUGCCGUAGGAUGGGACUGCGGCCUAUCAGUUUGUUGGUGAGGUAAUGGCCCACCAAGACUAUUACAGGUACGGGCUCUGAGAGGAGUAGCCCGGAGAUGGGUACUGAGACACGGACCCAGGCCCUAUGGGGCGCAGCAGGCGAGAAAACUUUGCAAUGUGCGAAAGCACGACAAGGUUAAUCCGAGUGGUUUCUGCUAAAGGAACCUUUUGUCAGUCCUAGAAACACUGAUGAAUAAGGGGUGGGCAAGUUCUGGUGUCAGCCGCCGCGGUAAAACCAGCACCUCAAGUGGUCAGGAUGAUUAUUGGGCCUAAAGCAUCCGUAGCCUGCUUUGUUAGUUUUCGGUUAAAUCCAUACGCUUAACGUAUGGGCUGCCGGGAAUACUGCAAAGCUAGGGAGUGGGAGAGGUAGACGGUACUCGGUAGGAAGGGGUAAAAUCCUUUGAUCUAUUGAUGACCACCUGUGGCGAAGGCGGUCUACCAGAACACGUCCGACGGUGAGGGAUGAAAGCUGGGGGAGCAAACCGGAUUAGAUACCCGGGUAGUCCCAGCUGUAAACUAUGCAAACUCGGUGAUGCAUUGGCUUGAUGCCAAUGCAGUGCCGCAGGGAAGCCGUUAAGUUUGCCGCCUGGGAAGUACGUACGCAAGUAUGAAACUUAAAGGAAUUGGCGGGGGAGCACCACAAGGGGUGAAGCCUGCGGUUC
rnacentral:rRNA from 1 species